rnacentral:rRNA from 1 species
UACGGAGGGUGCAAGCGUUAUCCGGAUUUACUGGGUUUAAAGGGUGCGUAGGCGGAUAAUUAAGUCAGUGGUGAAAUCUUCAGGCUUAACCUGGAAACUGCCAUUGAUACUAUUUAUCUUGAAUACUUUGGAGGUAAGCGGAAUAUGUCAUGUAGCGGUGAAAUGCUUAGAUAUGACAUAGAACACCAAUUGCGAAGGCAGCUUACUGGACAGUAAUUGACGCUGAGGCACGAAAGCGUGGGGAUCAAACAGG